GCCAGUAGCCACAUCACCCUGCAACUCACACCUGGCAGCCCCCUGAAGCUCAGCAGGUGUGAGCCUGGCCAGUACCUUGAUGGGAGACCUCCUGGGAGAAACUAAGGUUGCUGCUGGAA
rnacentral:rRNA from 1 species